rnacentral:pre_miRNA from 1 species
CUUUCUUGAAGCCAUGGUGCAUUGUAGUUGCAUUGCAUGUUUUUCUGUAGCAAAUGUAGUGCAAAUACAGUGCAAAAUGGAGGCAAGAU